AGUCUUGUAGUUUAACCAAAAUAUUAAAUUGCAAAUUUGAAGAUAUAUACAAUUAAGGCUU
rnacentral:tRNA from 1 species